rnacentral:SRP_RNA from 1 species
CCGUGUAAUCCAUGUAGUAACAUGCAAUUGAUUGAUUGAUUGAUCAUCAAUACGGGUCGGGUCAUUGUGCAAAUGGGUUGAGGCUGCCCAUUCGCGAGUCGGGGGCCGGCCAG